rnacentral:rRNA from 1 species
GUUAUGGCUAGGGGGUCAUGGCGACUUACCAAACCAUGGCAAACUCCGAAUACCUGCAAGUACAGCUUGGGAGACAGAGCACCGGGUGCUAACGUCCGGACUCAAGAGGGAAACAACCCAGACCGCCAGCUAAGGUCCCCAAAUAUUGCUAAGUGGGAAACGAAGUGGGAAGGCUAAAACAGUCAGGAGGUUGGCUUAGAAGCAGCCAUCCUUUAAAGAAAGCGUAAUAGCUCACUGAUCGAGUCGUCCUGCGCGGAAGAUGUAACGGGGCUAAGCAAUAUACCGAAGCUGCGGAUGCACAUUUAUGUGCAUGGUAGGAGAGCGUUCCGUAAGCCUGCGAAGGUGCAUUGAAAAGUGUGCUGGAGGUAUCGGAAGUGCGAAUGCUGACAUGAGUAGCGAUAAAGGGGGUGAAAGGCCCCCUCGCCGUAAGCCCAAGGUUUCCUACGCAACGUUCAUCGGCGUAGGGUGAGUCGGCCCCUAAGGCGAGGCAGAAAUGCGUAGCUGAUGGGAAGCAGGUUAAUAUUCCUGCACCAUUGUUAAAUGCGAUGGGGGGACGGAUCGCGGAAGGUUGUCCGGGUGUUGGAAGUCCCGGUCCUUGCAUUGGAGAAGGCGCUCAGGCAAAUCCGGGCGCGGAAUUCAAGGGUGCGAGGCCAGUCACUUAGGUGAAGAAGCAAUCGGAAGUGGUUCCAAGAAAAGCCUCUAAGCUUCAGUUUAACAGGACCGUACCGCAAACCGACACAGGUGGGCGAGAUGAGUAUUCUAAGGCGCUUGAGAGAACUCGGGAGAAGGAACUCGGCAAAUUGGUACCGUAACUUCGGGAUAAGGUACGCCCCUGUAGCUUGAUGCCCCUGCGGGCAGAGGGUGAAGGGGUUGCAAUAAACUGGUGGCUGCGACUGUUUAAUAAAAACACAGCACUCUGCAAACACGAAAGUGGACGUAUAGGGUGUGACGCCUGCCCGGUGCCGGAAGAUUAAAUGAUGGGGUGCAAGCUCUUGAUUGAAGUCCCGGUAAACGGCGGCCGUAACUAUAACGGUCCUAAGGUAGCGAAA